AGUGAACGCUGGCGGUAGGCCUAACACAUGCAAGUCGAACGGCCGCACAGUAAGAGCGUGCCCUUACGGGUGGCGAGUGGCGGACGGGUGAGGAAUAGAUCGGAAUCCACUUUUUCGUGGGGGAUAACGUAGGGACACUUCCGCUAAUACCGCAUACGACCUACGGGUGAAAGCAGUGGAUCUUGGGACCUUGCCCGACUGAAUGAGCUGAAGUCGGAUUAGCUAGUUGGCUGGGUAACGGCUCACCAAGGCGACGAUCCGUAGCUGACCUGAGAGGAUGAUCAGCCACACUGGAACUGAGACACGGUCCAGACUCCUACGGGAGGCAGCAGUGGGGAAUAUUGGACAAUGGGCGCAAGCCUGACCCAGCCAUGCCGCGUGAGUGAUGAAGGCCUUCGGGUUGUAAAACUCUUUUGUUAGGAAAGAAAAACAGCAGAUGAAUCCACCCCUGUUCUGACGGUACCCAAACAGUAAGCACCGGCUAACUUCGUG
rnacentral:rRNA from 1 species